rnacentral:rRNA from 1 species
GACGAACGCUGGCGGCGUGCUUAACACAUGCAAGUCGAGCGGUAAGGCCCUUUCGGGGGUACGACGAGCGGCGAACGGGUGAGUAACACGUGGGUGGACCUCGCCCUCCAGCUCUGGGAGUAAGCCUGGGAAACGUGGGUCGUAAUACUGGAUAUGACUCCACGGUGCAUGUCGUGGGGUGGAAAGCCUUGUGCGGCUGAGGAU